rfam:Larimichthys crocea isolate SSNF unplaced genomic scaffold scaffold149, whole genome shotgun sequence.
UAAGAGGUUUUACUCAAAACCACAAAUGUCAACCUCAAAGUCACGG